GUGAAUCAUCAAAUUUUUGAACGCAAAUUGCACUCUCUUCGGAGCUUAUGCCUAUUUGUGGGUCAGCCUAACAAAAAUCGACAUAGUAGCUGUUUUGCGGUGACAUUCGUCGGGAGCUGUGUCAUCUUAUACCUGUGGGUUUUAAGAGGCUUAAAAUUUUCUUUACGAUUCCACGAACGAAUCAUAUUAUUACUU
rnacentral:misc_RNA from 1 species